GGCGGGAUGGCUCACGGCCCCUCAUGGCCGGGCGGGAUCGUGGGACGGAGAACCGAUCCCCACCUCAUAACCCGGCUCCCUUCCAGCCUGCAGGCUUCGUGCGGAGGGCUGGCAGCGCAGGGCGCCGCUUCCAGCCGGCAAUUUUCAAAUACGCAGUCGUAGGGGCCUGCAGAUGCUGUCAUCGUGACCAAGGCCCCACGGGGAUACACAUUGUAACAACGUGCAGUAUUCCAGUCUCAUCCUGUUCCUGGGGAAGGGAAGCAGGCAGGGGAUGAGACAUCCAGAUAUUUACUGCUUCACAGCCCAACGGAGCGAGAUGUAAACUGCAACACAUCCCUCUUUAUUCCACAAGCAUCCCUGGCUCUGUUAUCCCCCUCUCCAGUCCCCCUGGAUGAAUAACCCUUUCCCCUCUCCAGGUGACUCCCAAAACUGCCCACCCAGCAGAUGCUUCCGCAGCACCAACUGUUCCAAACCCCCUCAUUUCAUCUCCGGCUUUUUGAUUUUUUUGAUUUUUUAAUUUUUCCCCCCUCUCCCUCCCCCGUGUCCUCCCAAUCUUUGCUGCCUGGCACAUGCUGCAAGCUGCAGUCCCACCGGAGUGAUAUUGUGAUGGAAAUGAGGGAGGGGGAUGCAGGCAGAACUGCACAGAUUUACAGCACUCCAAGGGUUUCCAUUAAAAUCCUUGACAACUUGUUAUUUAUGAGUCGACCAACAGCUCUUCUAAUAUCCAGGGCCUAGACCCCAUUCACUUCAAUAAUGCUGGGUUGGAAUAAAUGAGCCAGAGGAUGGAAACCAGUUCUGUUAGUAUAAUGGAGGAGGCUAAUAGGUGUUUAGAGAAAACAACUGAUGUAAUUCUGGGGCCCAAUCCCUUCCCCAACAAAACAAUAAAGGUUUGAGUCUUC